GUCAAUCGCCACUAGGUAAACGGCUUUUCGAGUUAUAAAUUUGGUUGCCGGAAUUUCUACACCAUAGAUUCUUAUUUUGCUCUUAUAAAAUGCGUAUCUCAACUUUAGAGACCAGGAUAGCAACAGAUUGCCAUCUACCGUAGAAUUUAGUCGCGCCAAAGAAAAGUCGAAAGAAUCCAUAGAAAAUUAACCAAUCGUCGCAUAUUAACUACAACAAAAAACCAAACAAACCGCUGCAAGUAUAUCCUCCACCUACCAAAUCUGAAUUCAGAUUUUUAUACAUGUCAUCAGGUUUACAUACAUUCUACUCAAUCCAUUAAGAAGCAUACAAG
rnacentral:lncRNA from 1 species